rnacentral:rRNA from 1 species
GAUCUUGCGACAAUGGGCGAAAGCCUGACGCAGCAACGCCGCGUGCGGGAGGACGGCCUUCGGGUUGUAAACCGCUUUUCGGGGGGAAGAGGAAGGACGGUACCCCCGGAAGAAGUCUCGGCUAACUACGUGCCAGCAGCCGCCGUAAAACGUAGGAGGCGAGCGUUAUCCGGAUUUACUGGGUGUAAAGCGCGUGUAGGCGGUCCUGCAAGGGGUGCGUGAAAGCGCCCGGCUCAACCGGGCGAGGACGUGGGGGAACUGGAGGGCUAGGAGCAGGUAGAGGCGGGUGGAAUUCCGGGUGUAGUGGUGAAAUGCGUAGAGAUCCGGAGGAAAACCAGUGGCGAAGGCGAAACGCUGGGCCUGGCCUGACGCUGAGAGGCGAAAGCAUGGGGAGCGAACGGG